rnacentral:rRNA from 1 species
UACGGAGGGGGCUAGCGUUGUUCGGAAUUACUGGGCGUAAAGCGCACGUAGGCGGACUGGAAAGUUGGGGGUGAAAUCCCAGGGCUCAACCCUGGAACUGCCUUCAAAACUAUCAGUCUGGAGUUCGAGAGAGGUGAGUGGAAUUCCGAGUGUAGAGGUGAAAUUCGUAGAUAUUCGGAGGAACACCAGUGGCGAAGGCGGCUCACUGGCUCGAUACUGACGCUGAGGUGCGAAAGCGUGGGGAGCAAACAGG